CGGUGCGGUCAGGGCCGAACAAAAGGAGCCGGAACCGGCGUGAGGGAGGGAGGGGAACGGGACGGACGGGACGGCCGGGCCAGGGAAGCUGUUCCCAUGGCGUGUGGGGAAUGCAACGCUUCAGCACCUGCUCAGGAUCCAGCACGCAGGAACAUCAUCCACUUCCAGCACAGAGAACUGAAGUGCAGAUAGCAGAACCCAGCUGCAGGGUGAAUCAUGAUUCCAGUCACUGAGUUGCGAUACUUUGCUGACACGCAGCCAGCAUACCGCAUCCUGAAGCCAUGGUGGGACGUCUUCACGGACUACAUUUCCAUAGUAAUGCUGAUGAUCGCAGUGUUUGGAGGGACACUUCAGGUCACCCAGGACAAAAUGAUUUGUUUGCCUUGUAAAUGGGUUACCAAAGACUCCUGCAAUGACUCUGUCAGAGGCUGGACAGCCGCAACCCCGGAGCGCACCUACUAUAACUCCAGUCUUGUUCCCUCUGCUGAUACAGGGCCGACGGGGAUCCGGUAUGAUUUGGACCGGCACCAGUAUAACUACGUGGAUGCGGUGUGUUAUGAAAACCGCCUUCACUGGUUUGCCAAGUAUUUUCCUUAUCUGGUGCUGCUGCAUACUCUCAUCUUCCUGGCUUGUAGCAAUUUCUGGUUCAAAUUCCCACGGACCAGCUCCAAGCUGGAGCACUUUGUGUCUAUUUUGCUUAAGUGUUUUGACUCUCCAUGGACAACGAGGGCAUUAUCUGAGACGGUGGUGGAAGAGAGUGAUACCAAGCCAGCAUUUGGGAAAAUGAAUGGCUCCAUGGACAAGAAAUCCUCCACAGUCAGUGAGGAUGUGGAAGCCACUGUUCCCAUGCUGCAGAGAACAAAGUCUCGAAUUGAGCAAGGGAUCGUGGACCGGUCUGAGACGGGAGUCUUAGACAAAAAGGAAGGUGAACAGGCCAAAGCACUUUUUGAAAAAGUGAAAAAGUUCCGUACACAUGUGGAAGAGGGCGAUAUAGUGUACCGCCUCUACAUGAGACAGACCAUCAUCAAAGUAAUCAAGUUCAUCCUGAUCAUCUGCUAUACCGUUUACUAUGUCAACAACAUAACGUUCGAUGUUGACUGUAAAGUGGACAUUGAGAGCUUGACUGGCUACAGGAUGUACCGCUGUGCUCAUCCUUUGGCCACUCUCUUCAAAAUCUUGGCGUCUUUCUACAUCAGUUUGGUGAUAGUCUAUGGCUUGAUCUGCAUGUACACGCUCUGGUGGAUGCUGAGGCGAUCGCUCAAGAAGUACUCCUUCGAGUCUAUCCGGGAGGAGAGCAGCUACAGCGACAUUCCUGACGUGAAAAAUGACUUUGCUUUUAUGCUCCAUCUGAUUGACCAGUAUGACCCCCUGUACUCAAAGCGCUUUGCUGUCUUUCUGUCGGAGGUAAGUGAGAACAAACUGCGGCAGCUGAACCUCAACAAUGAGUGGACUCUGGAGAAGCUGCGCCAGAGGAUCACCAAGAACUCCCAGGACAAGCUGGAACUGCAUCUGUUCAUGCUGAGUGGCAUUCCUGACACAGUUUUUGACCUCGUUGAGCUGGAGGUCUUGAAGUUGGAGCUUAUCCCUGAUGUCACUAUUCCCCCAAGCAUCGCCCAGCUCACCAGCCUUAAGGAACUAUGGCUCUACCACACCGCUGCCAAAAUUGAGGCUCCAGCCCUUGCCUUCUUGAGGGAGAACUUGAAGUCUCUGCACAUCAAGUUCACAGACAUCAAGGAGAUUCCUCUUUGGAUUUACAGCCUGAAGACACUAGAGGAGCUUCAUCUGACGGGGAAUCUGAGCGCUGAGAACAACCGGUACAUCGUAAUAGAUGGACUGAGGGAGCUGAAGAGGCUGAAGGUGUUGAGGUUGAAGAGUAACCUCACCAAGCUGCCACAGGUGGUGACGGAUGUUGGCGUGCAUCUUCAGAAGCUUUCCAUCAACAACGAGGGCACCAAGCUCAUUGUUCUCAACAGCCUUAAGAAGAUGGUCAACCUGACAGAGCUCGAGCUGAUCCGUUGUGACUUAGAACGCAUUCCUCACUCCAUCUUUAGCCUCCACAAUCUACAGGAGAUAGACCUGAAGGACAAUAACCUCAAGACCAUUGAGGAAAUCAUCAGCUUCCAGCACUUACAUCGUCUCACUUGCCUUAAAUUGUGGUACAACCACAUUGCCUACAUCCCCAUGCAAAUAGGCAACCUCACCAACUUAGAGCGCCUUUACCUGAAUCGGAACAAGAUAGAAAAGAUCCCUACCCAGCUCUUCUAUUGCCGAAAACUUCGGUAUUUGGAUCUCAGCCACAACAACUUGACUUCCAUACCGCCGGACAUAGGACUCCUCCAAAAUCUGCAGAACCUGGCUGUGACAGCCAACAGGAUUGAGAGUCUACCACCAGAGCUGUUCCAGUGCAGGAAGCUGAGAACCUUGAACCUGGGAAACAAUGUGCUGCAGUCCCUCCCCUCCCGGGUUGGAGAGCUGACAAAUCUCUCACAGAUCGAGCUGCGGGGGAACCGCUUGGAGUGCCUGCCAGUGGAGCUGGGAGAGUGUCCUCUGCUGAAACGUAGCGGGCUGGUGGUGGAGGAGGACUUGUUCAACACGCUGCCCUUGGAAGUCAAAGAGCGGCUGUGGAGGGCAGACAAAGAACAAGCCUGAGCCCCUGAAAGAAGGGGGAAAAGCUCCGACCAGCUAGAAGGAAACACAAGGCCAUUCCAGUCCCCCUUUUCCCAGAUCCUCCCCUUCCUCCCCUCCAAUCACUAUCAGACUAGCCAAGGAGUCCCUGAACAAUCAUGACUCUGACUGAGGCUGCUUCUUGCCUCAGACGCAGGAUGGGGAAAGCUUGGGAUCAGGAUGAGGAUCAAGGCAGGUUAGAUGGCUUCUGAGCAAGGGCCGGUGGGAUAAGAGGUGUUGCUGCUCUUCUGGACAGGAGGUGGGGUGAGGUGGAUGGUGCUGGUGAGAAGAAAUGACCUUUGAAUGAAGGAGAACAGGAAACAAGGGGAUUGCUGCACUGCCUCAAAUGGGGAUUUUGUGUGUCAGGGACUGAGAGUGUCCAGUGUCCUGCAAGCAAGAAUCAAGAGCCUAGGAAACCUCCUGAACCUCCAUCUCUGUGACACCUGGUACAGUUUCCAGCUCAGCAAUUCACGCUGCUGAGCUGAAUGAAUUCUUGGAGCCCCUGUUGAUCACAAGCAUGAUCAUCCCAUGCUAGGACUGAAGGUUAGUAAAAUGGAAUUCUACCUUUCCGGCUAAAUACCCCAAAAAGUAGUAAGUUGCAACUAAUUUUUUGAACUAACUGUAAGGCAAGGGAUACCAAACCCAUUAAAUAUGUUAAAACUCGCUGUAUCUCUGAAACUAUGCACUGGAAUGUAAGUUGAAGCUUUUCUUUAAGAUUGAUUUCUGAAUUUACUAUUUGGUCUCUAGCUAAUUCAGCAGCUGAAAUUAAUUUCCUCUGCUGGUCUGAAUGGUUAAACAGAAGCCCAAUACAAGCUGUUACUGGUAUCUUUCAUGAUGUGGUGUUCUUUGGUAUUAAUUGUCACUUCCGGAGAAUGUCCUACCUCAUUUUUUAUUUUUUUUACCAUUUAUACGCUCCAUUUAGCUCGGUUCGUUUUAAUUAAAGCAAGUUCUUGGUGUUCAGUACCAUAAAUAGUAUUAAGUGGCUUUCUGUUGCUGAACCACACCGUGGGUCCUCUUCUUUUGCUCUAAGAAAUGAUUCUAGGAAUUUCAGAACAACAUCGCAUCCUUUUCAGGGGAUGUUGUAUAUGGGGAGGAAAAAAAGCUUGAAUGUUGUUGAUUCAACAGCUGUGACAUCGUUUCCCUUCCUUACCUUUUUUCCUCUUUGGAAAGGGACUCGCAUGGUUUGAAUUCUCUGGAUUUUUUUCUUCAGCCCUUCAGGGGAGGAAUAGUUUUUUCAUUGAGAGCUGUGCCUUCUCCAGACAUUAAGGUAACUUCUCCACUGAGGCACUUGCUUCUUCUAGAGUAUUUCCAAUUGUUUCUGCCUGAAGCCAGCUCUUCCCUCUGAUUCUUUUCCUUUCAAAUGUGGAGAGCACGGAGAGAUUUAAGUGUCAGCAUGACUUUUCUCACUGAAGAACCAUCUUGUCAUACCAUAAACAGUAGCACCAUCUACUCUGAAAUGUUACCAAAGGUAAGGCUGUGUCAGUGCUAAAUACUAAAGCUCUCAUUUAAGUUUCACUUUGAUUUAUUUUCCUCCUCAUUGCAUCUUUUUUUGACUGCUGUUUGGCCACACAGCAGAUCCUGUACUCUUAAUAAGCAUGUGCCAAAACAGAACGGAUUUUGUCCUAUCUGCAUUGUGACAGUGCAUGAGGCAGAACUGGAAUUGGACAAAGGUAUUGUUGGUCUCAAACCUUUCUCUAUCUCCAUUGCUCCAGCUGCAGUGACAGGUUAAUACUAACUGCUUUGGAAGCAUAAAAUCCUCCAGAGGUCUUGUCUGAAAUCCCUUUUCAAAAGUAACUGCACUUGAAUUGAUGGACUCCAACAACUAAGAUUAACUUUAUGUGAAAUUGGACAAAGGCUUAAUUUGGAAUUUCUGGAAAUACCCUUCUAUUCCUCUGUCUCCUUUAAAGGAAGUUUAUUGAACAAUGGGAAAAUUUUUUCAACUUAAUGAGAAGGGGGCUAAUUGGCCUGAGUCAUCUUUAAAGCUGACAAACGCAUCCAUUUAAGUAAGACACUACUCAUGGCUUAAACAUUGCUCACUCCCAUUUUGUAGUUGUGCUCGCAGGGUUGUGGUUUGGCAUCCAAGACCUGCAACUUGGUGUAACAUUUUGGAAUCAUGGCAUUCACUUUGUACGUGGGAUUGUUUGGGCAGCUGAUCAACAGCACCUCCACCUUAAGCACUGAAGGCUGCUAUUGUUUUCUCUGAAAGACUUGUAAGACUGGACACUUUAACAGAAUAAAAAAUUGAAUUUUUAAUUUGCAUUUUCCUUUUAUGUCUGUUUUCUUUGGUUUCCUGUAUGCAAAGGCACUUAGUCUCUGACAAUCUCACUCUUCAGAAGACAGAUGUUAAUAAUUCUAGCUAUUGUGUAGAAUUAUUGUAUUUUUACUCAUCGCUUGAGCUCCUGUGGAUUACAGCACUUUAUGAAUAAGAAAGUAGAUGUGCGGUGAAAGAUUCUGUUCAGUGGCAAGCCUGGACUGCCUUACACAUUUCGCCAUCACUUUAAGAAAUGGCUGAAACAACUUACAUUGCCAAAUACAGAUUGUUGGAGGAUUGUCUGCUUGGACCUGUAGAAACGUGGCUUUUCAGAAUGCAGCUUGUGCUCUCCUUCCCCAGGAGAAAGGUAGGCACUGAAGGCGAUGGAGAAAACUUGCAGUUGCCAUAGAAGUGGUGCCUUCAGCCAGCUACUGGUAACAAACAGUUUGUGUUUCCUAGCUGUCUGCCUACCCCAUGCACUACUUUUUCUUCCUUUCACCUGGAAAAUGCUGACAGGUAACCUCUCCUAAUUGAGCAUCUUCACGAUGUGUUACAGAGAAUCAGCCUGUAACUUUCAAAGACAGCUUUAGUUUCUGUGCAGCUUCUUUAUGGCAUAGAAAGAUGCUUCUUGUCUUUUGUCUUCCCCUGCUUCCUUUGUCUGCGGCUGCUUGACCACAGUGCCAUUAGACCCACUUCAGCAGGCUGUGAAGGGUGCUAGUCUGUAAUGCCAGUUAUUGGCAUGGAGUCUUAAAGAAAUGUCGCUAGGACGGAACUAAGAAAGGAGAGGACAAAAUGCCUCUUGUCAUCUAAGGCUCUCUUGGAAUGAAGCUGCUUUUGGCAAGUGUUCAGCCCUCUGAAUAGCUGAGCAAAAGGAAUGAAUGGAAGGUGCCAUCAGAGAACUGAUGCUUGCUGGAUUCCUGGGAGACUGUAGUAAAGGGAUGGGGAAAGAGCCUGAAGGUAAAUAACUGAUGUCUUUGCUAGAAAAAGCACUUUUAAUCCAGAUAAUUCCCAACUUUCUCUGUAGCUCACUAAAGCAUAGUGUGGGGAUGCAGUAGAGGUAGUUGGAGCUCUCUUAGCUUUGUUCAGGUACACUUCUCUAGCCCUGCCACACCGUAAGCUUUUUACCUACUGAUUUUUGAAGAAAGAAAUUAUCUUGCUUGUACCUGUGGAUGACUGAGAAUUCUCUUGAUGGAAAAUUCCUCUGUUCCUGAGGCUUCUGGUAGCUUGAGAGAAGUGGGGACUGUCAACGGAGGGAAAACAGUAGUAGUCCAGUAUUGAUGACAUCUUAAAUAUAUACUAAUAGGCUACUUAAUGCAAUUUAAUCACUAUCUUUGUUCCUGCGCUCCUUGUUUCUCAUGAAACACUCUAUCAUUGAUCAUACUGAAGACUUCAGGAGAGAGAGGAGAUCCAGCUGAAAUUGCUGCCUACCUACCAGUCCCGGCAGCUCCAGCAGCAGCAACCUUGGUGAGAGCGCCAAGCUGUGGGGAGCUGGUGACCUAGCUCGGCUCCAGGUGGUAUCAGUAGGAACUCAAAUCAAGGAAGAAAGUGGGGUAACUGCACUGGGCAGGAUGGCAUUUGAAACACUCAUGCUUUGUCUGCUGCAGGGUUGUUCACGUCCCAGAUGCCGCUCGCUCCUGUACCUGUCUCGCAGCAGGGGCUGGGCUCUGGCAGUCUCCCAGGAGUUUGCCAGAAAUGCAUUUUUUUUGCCAGAAAUGCAGUUUUCUUGCAGAGCUGGCAGGAGAAAGUGUUAACAGCCUGCACGGAGCUCUUGGAGGGGGAGGAAAGGAAGGAAAGAGGGGUCACUUCCCAGUUUUGUCCGAGUGCUUUCUACCUUCCUUAUUUAAACUUACUGGAGGAGGAGAUAUUUACAAAGAUUACGUCCUUCUCUUUGCCUCCUUUUAGGCAUUACGUAGGGGUGGUGGUUUUCCUCUUGCUGAAAAUGUCUUCCUGAGCCUCAAAAUAGGAGCAUGUCUGGAAUGGCAAAGGGCUGGAGGACUCCUGAGAGGUUCCUGUAAGUCGGAUGGUUGUCUCUUGUUUGUGCACUCGCUGGGCUGUGAUCUGCUGCUCGUGGUGCUUGUUUACAACACUUUCCAUAAACAAACCAGGAAAGCUGUGGUUUCCCACUGUGCGUAUGACCUCCAAUGAAUUCUGAAGUCAUUGAGUGUGCGUAAUGCGGGGAGUGGAGGAGAUGACGUGCUAAAUUGCUGAAAUAUAUUACUGGGAAUGACGAGUGACGUUGUGAAUGACCCACGUAACACAGAAGGACUGAGGAACAGUAUGGGAGUGUGGUCUGUUUUGUUUUUUUAAUAUUUAUCAGGAUUGCUACCUUCCAAGCAGGGCUACUCAUGAGUGGAGGGGUAGGUCCUCGUAAGAUUGCCUUACAGGCAAUAGCUACAGCAGGGUGUCUUUAUUUUUUUCCCCUUGCUGGUUACCCAGCUUUCUUGAACAGUUCAGCUUUGCUGUCUGGAGAAACUCUCCUAAGAGGGGGGAACUACCUGAUUAUUCUUUGAAUUUUGCCAUGCUGGGGGUUGUUUCCCCUCCACCUUUAUAGCCCAGUAAUUAAAUUCUCCUGUGAAAUUUAGCUUUAAGUACCAAACUGAUGUCCUGUUGAGUGCGGAGAAAAGCUUGUUAAUGCUCAAAAUGAGAUGUUCUCUAGUGAAAACACUUAAUUUGCUUU